UUAACUAUUAUAUAGUACUCGGACGACAAAAUUAAGAAUGUUGAGGUCCUCUGGCGAGCACGGACCAGCAAAAGCCAGUAGUCAUUAGACAGGCCCGCCAAAGCAACAAAGGUAUUGUAAACAAAGGGUGGGAGAUAUACCCUAAAAGGGCACAUUCUCUGUAAUGAUCCUUCCGCAGGUUCACCUACGGAAA
rnacentral:misc_RNA from 1 species